rnacentral:lncRNA from 1 species
GGCGGGCUUGGGCACCGGUGGGCCUCAUAGGGGAUGGGGGUGGUGACGUCAGGAGGGCCACAGUGAGAGCCGCCUGGUGAUUGGCUGUACAAGCGAGGCCGAGCCAAGAGCCUCCUGAUGAUUGGCUUAGGGUCACCAUGGAAACCCCUGGGUGGAGCUUUGGUGAUGGGCGGGGUCCCAGGGAGAACCCACACCGCGCGACCAACAGCCCGCCUGCUGCACGCCUGAGACCGAGCUGAGAGCCUCCUGAUGAUUGGCUAGGGGACAGCCGUGACGUCAGGAGGAGGCAGUGUGACGCAAGGGGUGGGUAUAAAAGCCAGGGGCCAGUCCCAGGCCUCGCUGAAGGGACAGACGGUGUUACGGGUGGGGCUCCCGCUGCUCAUGGCUGCAUUCUCCGCCCCACAGGACAGCGACCCCCAUCCCACUCGUCCUGCCCAGGGCCUCUCGCACAGAGUGGCCGAAUCCCCCGGACACCAGGCCAGGGGGAGCCCUCCCACCCAGCUUAGCAGAGGGUGAGCGAUUCCCCACCGACACCCGGCCAACUGCAAAGCCCCCUGACCCAGCGCAGCUCGGGGCAGCCGUGGACCCCGCUCCCAGCCUGCGGGCCCCACGCGGUUGCACGCUGCGUCGAGCCCCAAGUCUUCCCUGGGCCUUCCUGGAAUCCUCGUCUGCGUGUGGCCGUCAGCAGCCCUGCCAGGCCCAGGCGAGCGGGCUGGAAGAGGCUGCUCCGUGGGUGGAGGAGACGACCUCCUUGCAGUCAUCGUGGGCCCCAUCGCCACCAGCUCUGCCUCUGUUGGAAGCCAGCUCAGAAACGUCAGUGCUGGGUGGCUGGGUGCUUGGAGCCGGUCAGAGCACAGUUCCCCCUGAUGGGUCACUGUGCCGAGGUGCUGGUGGGCUCAAGGCCUCAAGACCUCGUGGCAUAUGCCUUGGGGAGGCUUUUUCUUCUGGAGAGUUCUCUUGUUCAGAGGGAGCAAAGGCUGUUGUGCCUUAGGAUAAGAAAAAGGCCGGAAAUGGGAAGAGCUGUCGACGGAAAUCCAACUUACAGAUACGGGUUGCACAGACCCUGAGGGUGAAACUGGUCAACAGUUAGCCAUUGAUGGUUAAGUAGCUAGGAACUAAAGUUGUUUUCCUUUUGCAAUUACUGAUUAUAGGUUUUGGUCAUUCCCCGGCCCACGGUUACCUGUGCUGCUUAGGCAAUAUGCUACCUGGCUCCCGCUAGGCUCCUGUGGAUAACAUCCCCCUGGGGGCCGGGUCACCAUGGGAAUGGGUGUGUGAGCUGUUUUUCAGGAAUUAGGACCCUCUUGUCCAGUUCAGGCUGAUUGAGACCAUCAACGCCUCAACGAGGCCUGUGCAGAUGCCCAAUAAGUGACCUUUUGACGUCAGGAGGCUAAAAAUUCCACGCUUGGAUCAUGCUAAUGUCACCAUUUUGUGAACAUGGGUCCUAUGAACAAGCAUGGAGUCUGACUGUGCUUGUAGAGAUCAUCAAUUCCCUCAACUCUCCUCACCUCCCGUCACCUAUCUCCGCACGUUGGACCACCUUGCCCCCUACCCCAUAAAUACCCCUGAGCCCCCAUUUCUGGGGAGGCCGAUUUCAGACUCGUUCACCUGUUUCUUUGCUUAGCUGCCUGUGAUUAAACCCUCUCUCUGCUGCAAUCUCGUCAUCCUCUUCUUUGGUUUUCCACGUGAUGGGCAAAAAUAAACCAGGUCCGCUAACCAGAGAAAGCUGAAAUUGACCAAAACGGCUCAGGGAAAUUAAUAAAAAUCUAAGGAAGUGUGUGAGCUAAAGGAUUCCCCAAAACCGUGUGAAGGAGAAAAUCAAAAGCUGAAAAGUCUACUCGUCAACCUGGCAUCAUGGGAAGGACACGAUGUAAAGAACUUUCCGGAAGCCCAGGCCGCCCUGGACAACACGGCGGGAGAUGAGGAAAUUCAAGGAUUUCUGGGAGCCUCUGACUUCUAGAUGACGUUUGCACAGCACCAAGGGGCGAUGUCCGCCCCGACACCCACCCAAGAGGUCAAAGAAGGAGAGCUGGGGCGGAAUGUGGGUCACCUCCCGGAGUGGAGGAUGCGAGCUUCCUGACGGAUGCGACUUUUAAAUAAAUGUGUUGGAAGACAGAAGAGGUGUCCCCGGGCAAUUGUAAUGUCGAGCCCGGGGUCACAGUCACUGCCCCCGGCCCCAUGGGUCAUCGCGUUCUCCGGCUGGAUGGGUCUCGACAGGGCAGAUGUCUAAACAGACCCUGAGAACAGAGCCCUGAGGGGGGUAGGGGUCCCCGUGGCUCUGAGAAGGUGUCAGGGACCCACAGGGAGCUGACACUGAGCCCAGCCUGCCCGUCCCCUCCUCUAAGACUCAAAGCCGGCCGCCGAGGUGGGCACCAUCCUGGUAGAAAGGAGCGCGGGAGCGGAGUGUCCACACACGGGCAUUUCGGCAGAGACCAGUUCUGGCCGGAGACCUUGCAGCCGGUUUGUGGCUAACCUGCAUUUGGCCCCCCGAUGUCACGGCUGCCAGGUGCUUCUCGGCCACAGAUUCCUGGCCAAGGCGGGUCUCCGGUGAGCAAGUGUGCGGGGAGAGCCCAGCGUGGAGCGAGAGACCAGAGGCAUGGUGACGGCGGGGGGAUGCCUGGACCGCAGGGUGCAGGGCCUGCAGGGGUGGCUCGGGGGGCAGCCACAGCGACGCCCAGGGGUGACUCCCCGGACUCAGGUCUCUGUGGGCAUCUCAGGAAGGUCAGCCUGAAGGAGCAUCGCAGGGCAGUGACGUGGGGAAGCCCCUGCCGUCGUCGACUUCUGCUUCCUGCUGUGAUUGAACAAAGCUAGGCGGGCCGAGUCCUCCAUCGCACAUGACGAACCCAGAGAUCAGGUGUGACCACUGUGUGGGGCCCCGGAGAAGAGGGGCCGGGUCUCUCGGGGUCCAAUUGCAGAAGGAAAGCUAAUAUUUCAAUAUUCCGUUUUUGAAUGUCCGAUUUCUCAAUGCAGAUGGAAAAUACAGCUCAUUCGUGUGACAGGUUUGCCAUAAAUUGUGUGUCCCACAAUUCAACUGGAGGGAGGACACCCUCCCCGCCCCCCUUUCUGCCUGAUCGGCCCUGCAGCCCCCUCGCUCCACAGCCAUCUGUGCUGGGGGCCCUGAGGCAGCCUCUGUCCUGCUGGCCGUGGGGACACAGAAUGAACGUAUAGUCAUUUCUGAAUCAGAGCAGCAUAGAUGUUGCCAAAAACACAACAUGAGGGGCCAGCCUGGUGCCACAGUGGUUAAGUGCACACGUUCCACUUCGGUGGCCCGGGGUUCACCGGUUUGGAUCUUGGGUGCAGACAUGGCACCGCUUGGCAAGCCAUGCUGUGGCAGGCAUCCCACAUAUAAAGUGGAGGAAGAUGGGCGUGGAUGUGAACUCAGGGCCAGUCUUCCUCAGCAAAAAAAGAAAAAUAAGAGGAGGCUUGGCAGCAGAUGUUAGCUCAGGGCUAAUCUUCCUCAAAACAAAAACAAAACCAAAAACACAACAUGAAUUGAAAGGAGAUGCAGCAAAGUGGGAUGGAAGCAGGGGCCUCCAUCCAUGGUCUGCCAGUUUGACAAGGAUGACCACUGGGCAUCUCUGGGCAUCGAGGGCGGGGGCUGUGCUGGGCACAGAGGUCGGGGGGAGAGCAGAGGGAGGGCCUGGGGUCCAUGAGACAAUGCCACACGAAUCCUAGAGAGAUGGUCACCCAACUCCACAUCCACAAGUGGCCUCAUCCUCCCCCUUGCUCACGCCCCUAAGUGAAGUGUCACCCUGGCCCCCUUCCUCCCCGCCCCGCCCGCAGCACCACAGCCUAGCCCCCCACGGGCUGCCCUUCCCUCCGCGGGAGCUCGAAUGACAUCCCAGCACAUCGGCCGCAUCCUGCCCACCCUGCUCGAACACUCGUGGCUUCCAGGGCGCCAGCUCCUCACCCCACCCUGCCCUCGGGGGCCCCCCCAGGCCUGUGUCGCCCCCUCCAUGACUGGCUCCUCCUCAUCUCCAUGCGCCUUGGUCCCCAUGGACCCUCCUCAGGACCCCCACAGAGAGGAUUCCCUAACCAGCCCGUCACCCAGCCCCUCCAUCCAUCCCUGAGCUCACGUUGCUCCUCCCCACGCACUGGUCCAGUAGGCUGUUAGGGUCACUGUGACUGCUUCCUUGGGCUGGCGACCAUCCCCCGAGAACGUGAUCUCGGUGGGCGCAGGGACUGCUCUGAACCCCUCCAUCUAGUCAGCAACAGAUGUUAGCUCAGGGCCAAUCUUCCUCACCAAAAAAAAAAAAAAAAAAAAAAAAGGCUGGGAAAUGGAUUCCAUUAGAAAAAAAGAAACAGUCAAACUCCAUCUAGUUCUGUGCAGCAGGGAAUAAUGUCUGAACAGUGGCUAUUCAUCCAGGGGUCCCACAUGGACCCCCAAUGCUUUAUUUAGCACCUGUGCCUUGGAGCACGGUCCCCAUGAACAGGACAGCGUCCUCCCCGGACCAGCGUGGGCGGCUCUGCUGUUGGUGAACCAAGCAGUGAAUGCAGGUGGGGACGAGUUCCUGGGGCAGACGGAGCCGUGGGACGGCCCGGGGACGAAGCCCCAGCUUCAAGGGGCUCACGGCCACACGUGUCAGGGCGCCAUCCAGGCUCCAGGCGCUUCACCCCGACGGGGAGCAGGUUCCAGCCUCACCUUCGUCCCAGGCUGCGCUCCUCAGAGCUGCAUCUCUGGCCUCGCGGGGCCACCAUUCCAGAAGCCCUGACCCAUUCCAGAAAUGGGAAGAGGAAGAUGAAAAACCCGCUUUGCAGAGCGCGGGGAGAUGUCCACAUAAAGGAACGUGGCAUGUCUGCCAGUGGACGGCUGGAAAGGUCUCCGGCUGGUCCAGGUCAUGGGCUGCCCGCUCCAGCAGCUUCUGGGCGAUGCUGGUCCCUUGCAUCUUGGACACUUGCAAGGUCCCAAAAGGCCCCCAGUCCUGGGGCGUCUCCACUGCCACCAGAAGAAUGAUCUCGACGCUUCUCACACGACACUUUUCUAUCAUAUGGAACGCUUUUCUCUAUAAAUGUUGGUGGGAAAAGCUGUGUCGGGAGGCACUUGGUUCUGGCUGGGGUGGGGUGUUGAGGGAGCCACGCAUGAGUGACCUUGUCUCAUCUGGUUCCCAGUCUGACCCCACCCGAGGCGUCCCUCACACGCCGCUUGCCCACAGAAAGAUGCCAUAAAGGUUUGUUGAGUGAAUGUGCGCACAAAAAAUGGAGGCACCAGUGUCAGAAGGAGUGUCGGUGGCAAGUGGCCGCAUUCCAGACCCAGGAAUCCGGGAUGGGGCACCCCGAAGUAAGACUUCUGAUUUCAGGAGCCAGUAAUAGUCCAGGGCACCCCUGAGGGUUGGCACCUUUCUGUUUUCAGAAAUAAGAACAUUGGGGCCGGCCUGGUGGCACAGAGGUUAAGUUCGCACGUUUCACUUUGGCGGCCCGGGGUUCACCGGUUCGGAUCCCGGGUGCGGACACGGCACCGCUUGGCAAGCCAUGCUGUGGUAGGCGUCCCACAUAUAAAGUAGAGGAAGAUGGGCACGGAUGUGAGCUCAGGGCCAGUCUUCCUCAGCAAAAAGAGGAGGAUUGGCAGCCGUUAGCUCAGGGCUAAUCUUCCUCAAAAAAAAAAAAAGAAAAAAGAACAUGAAGGGCAGCUCCGUCCACACUGUCAGCUUCUCCUCUAAUUAGGGAGAUUCUCCCCAACGACUGGGAAGGACAUAACUUGGAGAACAGGCUUCUGAGAAAUGGGGUGGGUGGCCCUUUAAGGGUGUAGGGACAUUCCCCCUGUCACGGGACACGGGGACAGCAGGCGGUACCCAUGGCAGCACACAGAGACUGCGCAGUCACCCUGCCAGGAAAGGGCGACCGGGACCUCUUGGGUCCCCAGCCCCAAAGUCAGAGGCUCACACGCUGGGAGCCAGGUCGGCCCCUCGGCCCUCCCCACCCCGCCACCUUCCCAUCCCCUACAGAGCCAGCUGGGACCCCCAGGGAGCUCCAGAAACAUCGGCCGGAUUGCAACGUGGGCCACCCAGAACCGGACACCAGCCCUCAGAGCGGUCAGGCGUGGGGCCCAGGAGGUCGCUGGACACAGGACCUGGAGAUGGAGCGUGGUGACGGCUGCCCACCAGGCAAGCCCGUCCUCCAGCAAAAAGAUUCCGGCUUUGCCGAAGGCUCUGAUGAUGGUUAACACCUUUUAGCCAUAAAGUAUUUUUAAAUGAAAGGAUGCACAUUGUUUUUAUAGACAUAAGGCCGUUGCACACUGAAUAGCCUACAGUGGAGUGCAAACAUGACUUUUUUCUUUUCUUUUUUUCUUUUGAGGAAGAUUAGCCCUGAGCUGACAUCCGCCCCCAAUCCUCCUCUUUUUUGCUGAGGAAGACUGGCCCUGAGCUCACAUCCGUGCCCAUCUUCCUCUACUUUAUAUGUGGGACGCCCGCCACAGCAUGGCGUGCCAAGCAGUGCCAUGUCCACACCCGGGACCCGAACCGGCGAACCCCGGGCCGCCAAAGCAGAAUGUGUGCACUUAACCACUGCGCCACCGGGUGGCCCCUGAACGUUGCUUUUCUACGCGCUGGGAAACCCGAGAAAUCGUGAGACCCGCUUUAUUGCGACCUUGGCUUUAUUGUGCAGUCUGGAACCGAACCCACGGUGCCUGUACCACCUCCGGGUGAUACAUAGCAGGGAAUGCAGCAGACUUUUCCUCAAAGGAAAGAGAUUUCCAGAAGGGAGUCAGAAACUUUCAUUCGUUCAUUCACUCAUUCAUUCCUACAGUUACCGUCUUCCCUGAACCCCCAGGCUUUGCAGGGUGGGUGGAGCAAUGGCCCAGACCCUGGAGCCGGCUUGGGGCAAAGCAGAAACAGCAAGAAGACCUGCGAUGGGGCGACCUGUGGACUGCAGUGUGCCCCUGCCUGCGUGGGGACAGGUCAAGGGGCCAUCGAGGAGUAGGCGUGUCACCUGUUGCCAGGUGCCAGGUGCCCGUGGCGGGAAGCCCCUCGUGCACAUCCCUGCCCAUCUAGUGCUGGCGACAACUCCGGGAGGCGGGUGCUAUGGGAACCGCCAUCCUUCAGACGACAGAAACCAGGUCGCCACAGGGCCCUGCCCGCCCAGCAUCACAGGCGGCACCCGACACGCAUCAGCUGUGAUUGUUGGAGCGUGGGUGCUCUUUAUUUAUUACAGGACCCUCCGGCAGUGUCAGGGCACGGAGAGUGUGCAGCCAAGGAACCCGACAAGCUGGCUGCAGAUUUACGGUGAGAGUUGUCAUGAGACGGCUCAGCCGCGUCAACAGUUGGAAGUGGUGCCAGCUCCCGGAGAACAUCGUCCGUCUCAGAAACGACUUCCUCAUCGUUCCUCAGAGACUCGAAGCAAUUAUUCUGUUUUCUUACCAUUUUGGAUGCAUUUGAGUCAUGAAAAUAACACCGGACAUGAAAAUGCAACAGGACCCAAGAGCAGCUGUCUCUCCGCCCUUUCGAAAUGAGCCACUGGCCCUUGGCUUUAUUCUAAGUUAUCCUGAUUCCCUCAGACUUCACCUACGAGGAGGGCAAUCUGGUCUUGUUACUUCCAGAAACUCACUAGUAUUGUCUCUUGUCUGAUUCCAGCAUUUUCACGUGCAAAAGAGAACGGCCAGCCCAAGGUGUGGUCUGCUUUUUCUUUCUUUCUUUUUUUGUUUUGAGGAAGAUUGGCCCUGAG